UGUAAAGAAGUGUUUCCUGAUAUCCAACAGCAGGGUUGUUUUUCUUCUUUUAAAAAUUUUGCAACUAUAAGGAAAAUCUCAGCUUCUCAGUAGUGAUACAAGCAGCCACAUUCAGCUCUGGGGAGGUUCAGAUUGCACAGAAGGAAAAGCUCUUCACUAAGUGCUAUAUGGGUCAGCUCACCCAGAAAAGAGUCUUGAAGCUCAAAAAUCUUUUAUAAAGUUAGUUCUUUCCGCCCACUGCUGGGCUGAAAACAAUAGCAGCUCUUCAGUUGUGCCGUUUUUGGGGCUUCUUUUCCUUCCUAGACGAGGGCUGGGAAGGAAAAUGAGGCAAGGGUUUACAGGGGUGGGUAUUGUAAUCAUGGCGCAUGGGGAAGAAGCAUUACAGUUAGUUUCUGUUAACAUUAGGCUAAAUAAGGGCCAUCAGCUCCCUUUUGUGUUCUUCCUAUUUUCCUUGAUGAGAGCAUGAUGCGCACUGUGGCUGUUCCUUAAAUAAAGGGCGUUCCUAUUUCCAUGUGGACAUGUCAGUGGUAGGUACAAGUGAAGAGAUUAUUCCCCACCGUUCCCUUUGCUGACAACUUUAGAACAGAAUGCAGUUCUGUUCACAGCUACCAAGUGGAGCUGCCUGUAGGCAUUCUUGGUUGUGAAUUUAUAGCGGUACUGUAAUAUUUGCAUUAAUCCUAUCAGCACAAAGCAUACAUGAAAGCAUUCAGAAUUAUUUUGUCUUGCUCAUGCAAUUUGCAUUAAGAUCCACAUGCAGAACUGUACUUUUACAGCGAGUUUUAUACCUAAUAUCCAAAUCCUUUCUCCCUUUCUCCUGUCAAUCCGUGUCCUGUUUUUAAGCCCUCCUGGGCUCCGUGCCAGCGAGGAGCUGCAAGGAUCUAUGGCAACUGCCACAUUUGCACUUUUCAUUUACUAAUCUGUAACUAAGCUCUCAUUAACUAUUCUUAACUGUCCUGUUCAACAUAUGUUUGCUUGGGCAUUAGUGCUUAGAAGUUGAAACAAAUUAGAUCAGCAGCUAAAUUUACUUCUUAAUAGCCAAAAAUACUGGAGAAAGAAUAGAUUUGGAGUGUGGAUGUGGCAAUGGAAACGGGGAAAUCCCACUCUGCCUGGGCGAAUUAAAGGCUGGGGACGUGAACUUCCUACCCCCACCUUACCUCUGUGGGAAACUGAUGUACAAAGAGCUUUGAAAUGAGGCCAGAAAACAUCCACUGACCAGAGGGGUUUACAAAUGAGGUUCUAUUCGAGACUCUCUUUCCUCUGCUUCAUUCUCUAUCUUUUUCCCUUUCAAGCACUGCAAAAGUAUUUAUGGGUCUACUCGAGGCACUUCCUGCGGAGGAGCGUUUUCAUUUUGACUUCUGACGAUGCUGACGCUAAUUGCAGAAAGAGCAGCUUAACAAAGGGAAGUGUGGAAUGUUGGAUGAUAGACUGUGUGGGCCCUUACAAAGGUUAUUGUCUCUGCUUAAGAAGUUGUUGUGCGUACUGGCAAAGAUUGUGAAUGAUCAGCUUUAAUUAGUGUCAUUGUGCUAUCAGAACUGUAGUGCAAAUCCUAUCAUUACGUCCUCAGGUUUUGCUGCUGUUGGAUUCAGCAGCAGCUCAUCUGUAAGGUGUGGGCAGUCCCUGUGCUGCUGUCCCGCAGCCUGGCCCAGGAUGUCCGCUCACACAGUGCUCCCGGCGCUGCCUUCCUUCUGUCCAGGCGCAGUGCCUGCCUGGGGCUCGGUUCCAUAUCUCUGCAGUGGGCUUCAUGACCCCGUGUUCAGCAGUGUGCUGUAGGGAUCUGAUUGCUUCUUGCAGAAACCUGUGGUAGGGAAUCCUGGAAGCGCAGUGAGUUUGCCCGUCGUAGCUGGGGCUUUCUGAGCGCUCUGCGGUUUUCAGUCCCGUGUUUGUCCAGCUAAGGAAGGUUCGGUUGUGACACUAUCUUUGUAGAGCAAAAUCCUUCACAGGGAAAAAGCCCUCUGUAGUCUUGCCGUGCCAGCCAAGGCUCUGACAAGCCCCUUCUUUUUCAAGUAGCGUUACCCGCCGUUUGAUCCUGCUGUUGGUUUUCUAAGAGAAGACAGCCUUUCCCCCGAAAGGACCUGGGCACACAGCUUCCUUCAGUCGAAGCCAGAGCCCUCAGUUGGGAAGCACGUGUUGGUAGCGGAUCCAGCAGCAGCAAAACGGCUCUUUGUGUUAGCGAGGUGCCAGCAGGAAGCACAGCUGCAAUGCAAUGCACAGCAGCCUCUGGCACCUGGAAUUAACGCGCAUGCUAAGAUCCCUGCUUUCCAGGAAAAGACAGGCGCAGACUUUACACGACAGUCCUGAAGGGUUUGUUCCUCGGCGGUGAGUGUGGGAUUUGCCUCCUGGUGAGAGACUUUUCAAAGCCACAGGGAUUUAGAGAAGCAUUUUGAUGCGUUUCUUCCAGAUCACAAACUGAACUGCAGGGUAGAGCAAAUGCUGUCCUUUCGCCUUACCUUUGGCAACUGCUGCUCUGACCCAGGUUCGCCUGGCACGCUCGGUGUGUGACCUGCAAACUGCUGGGGAUAAGCAGCAGCUGAGCGGGUGGCAGAGGACAAAGCACCGCAAAGGAAGAUGCUGAAAGCGUGUUUGAAAGCACUGUCGCUGCAGGAGUGCUGUGCUCGUUUGGUAGCAUGUUGGUGUUGAGAGGAGGAAAGGCGAGGGAGAGCCGAGAUCAGGAGCAGCAGCGCAGGCACCAGCUGCCCUUCUUGCUGAGAUGAGCCCCUGAGGGCUCCCUCAGUGAAAGCUUGAUGUCAAGGCUUAUUUCCCAUCUGUAGAAGUGGAUUAUAACCAGUCGUUUAUCCUUAAGCCAACUGAGAUAGGUGAAGAAUUCAGAUGUUUUUCAAUAGAUUUUCUUUCUUUUUAUGAUCUGUUUCCUUUUAAUGAUCUACUGUUUUUUUAAAAUGCACAUCCUUUCCCAUAUGCAGAAUAUCCUAUAUACAGAAUAGAAUAUCCCUAUCCUAUCCUAUGAUUCUUUACAAAUCUGUGGGAAUUCUGUGGUCCUACACUGGAAGCAGGUCCGUGGUGGUUCUGAAGUGUGCUUGGACAGCCCUUGUGCUGCUCUCAUUCCUGGAAGAAGUGCCACAUGAGAAUGAGAGGGCCACACUGAGCUCCUGUAAUCUCUUCUGUACGUCUGUCUGUAAUUCAGUAGUGCAGAAAGCUUGGGUUUCUGGGCUGAAAUGUAUCUUAGCCGUAGCUCAAUCCAAGGCCAUCAGCUCUACUUCAGCUCUGCAAUUAUUUGAAAUUAUACAAGCUGGCUUAUGAGUGAUCAUAAAUCCUGUGUCUGACUGCUUCAUCGCAGACAUUUGCGGUGCUGAGGUCUCCUAGGUUUGAUACCCUGCCAAAGAGUUCAGGAAGUGUUUUGCAUCCAGGGGCUCAUUGGCUGAGGGGCAGCUGUGAGUUCCCUGUAGCUCAGUGCCACCUGGAGUUAGUUCCAUCAGAGAAAAUACCAUCAGCAGCCAACCAGAAAAAGAAGGGAAAAUAAGUGCACCUAAUAGGACCCGGCGGGACACCUUCUGCCGUUAGUUUCUUCACUGCCAGCUUUGUAUGAGUGCUACUCUUGAAGAGGAAACCCACAGGAAGAGUUCUGAGAGACUCUGAGCUCUAGGUAGUGCUUCAAAAUGAGCGGAUGGUGAGCUGUGGGCAGAAAGCACUGUUUUUCAUAAGCUGUGCUGAAGGAUCCUUGGUGUUUUGGUGAUGUUGGCAGCAGCGGCUGUAGCAGUGAUCCACUGCAUUCUGCACGGCAGCUGGGGAGCUGGAUGUGACUGCUGUGAUGGAUGGUUUCUUACUUAUAGCAACAACGGAUCUAAUAGUUAACCUCAGUGUAAAAUGUCAUGAUUUAUUGACAUCCUUCUGCUUUUAUUUACUUUGUGAAAGCUGCUGAGUGGCAGGAUACGUGUCUUUAAUUGAAUCCCUUUUCACGUUGCCGUUUGUUCCUUGGAGGUCCAGCUGCGGACCAAUCCUAGAUCCUGGAAAAGUUGCAGAGGAGGUUGCUGAGCAGGUCCUGAAGAGGAGUUCAGAAUACCAGCCGUCCAGUGGGUGCUGCAGUUGGGUGAUGGAGUUUCUUUUUGUUGUUUUUGUGGCUCCCGUAUCACUGAAGGGAAGAACUGAAAGCUUUUUAAUCCAUGCAAGCAAGUUGUCUUGGGAGGUGCAGGCCGUGCAGAUUUGCUGUUCUGCGGAAGAUAAAGCAGCACAAGACACUUGCGCAGAUAAGCACUUCAUUUUGGCAGCCCUGACUUAGUGAUGAAUUGGUCGACAUCUCCCUCCAAGUUUGCUUGUGUGGACCCGAAUGCUGGAAGUGACCACCAAAGAUGAGUGGUGCUCCCAACAGAAGGUUUGCAGGAAUCCACUUUUCUCAUCAGAAGUCUAUGCAAAAUAUGUGCCUGCCCUGUGACUGCAUGAUACCUGCUGUGACCGUGGCUGAGGGGAAGGGCAGCUGCCUCACGUGCUUUGUUAAUCCUGCUUUCCUGCACAGCUUUGUUUGGUGGUCCCAAUCUACCCGUUGUGAGUUGCAGAAUGGAGUACCAGCAUUUCUUAGCUGUGUGAAGUUUGGCUGUGAACUCGUGUGCUGUACUCUCAAUGAGCAGUAACUCCUGUAUUUGAAUGCACAACAAGUACCUGCUGGGCACUGCAGCCCUACUUCAAUGACAGAAUGGAGAACCUGUGAUCUGGAGGAGCUCAGGUAUGAGAAGCAGCGCAUUACCAAGAGUGCAGCUUAGAAGUGCAUGAUCUGAAAGCACAGAUGAGGUUACUGUCCCUUUGUUUUUGAACAAAAGCCCUCUGUUGAGAGUGAAAACCACUUUGUCUUUUUCUGCAUAUUGUAGUCACCUGAAUUAGAUGCACUCCAGGUGAACAUCUCUGCCAUUUUUUUUUCCUGGUUUUUGUCUGUCAAGAGCUGAUUCCAUAAUUCCAGAGACAAUAGAUAAAAAAAGAUUUAUAGAACUGUACAAAAAGUCUUUUUCUCCAUGUCACAGGUCCUCCUCUUACAAUAGUUCAACUUAAACUGUGUUUCGAAGAAAUUGGAAGGAUUUUCUGAAUGAGGGUUAAAAUAGAGAUAUGGCAGCAUUUGAAUUGGGUUGGCCUUUUUUGCUUAUCUGUUUUUUUUCCUACUCCCAGAUGUGCCUUUUCCUUUCCAGUGUAGCCAUAUCUGGAGGUUCUGACCAGACUGAGACUUGCGAGGGUCAAAAUCUUGAGGAGCAGCUGAGAGAUGCUUAGCAAGCUGAUGUGCUUAGAGUUAAGGGUCUUCUGAGUCUACUAAGUUCCACCCUGUCUUUGUCUGUCUUCUCAAUGACACUUCAGUGAUUUAAGGAUAGGAACCUGGUUAUUUCCUUUGUUCAGCCUUAUUUACAUAGAAACUACUUUUUGGAGUAUUGUAUGGCAAACCUGCAAAGUCCUGUUGGGAAAGUAUUGCCGUGCUAAUCCUCUGCUUGGGAUUACAGGAAAUAAGUUUUUUUUUUCCUCCAUGCUGACAUCUAUGCAGCCCCUGAAAAUAGUUAACAGAAAUUGGGUGCUUCCAUAUCAGCUUCCAUAUCAGAAUUUGUUUGGCUCAAUCGAGCAGUCAGCUCUACUGAAGCCAAUGGCAUCGGAUGGGACACGUAUUCGGCUGAGUUUCACAAAAAUUAUUGGCUCCACACUUGGUUGUACAGUGGGGAGCACAAAACCACUGCAAGAUUCAGCUUUCACACCGCUCUGUUUAGCUUUUCAGCAUGUAAUCUGGACUGUUGGCUGUAAGCAGUGCUGCAAUUGCUGCUAGGAUUUAAGCACAUCUCCUGAUCUUGAGAUCUUCUCUUUGUCACCUUCUCACCUUUUCAGCAAGUCUGGGGGAAGCUGAGUGCACCAACCUUUUGUGUUUUCCACUCUAAGUGUCAUUCAUCUUCAACAUUUUCCUGUCAGCCAGGUUAAAUAGCAUUCCACCACGCUCACUCGCAUGCUGUACGUUCCAGAUUUGCAUCCUGAAUGUGGAAAUGAUUUAUGAAUUUCUCAAAUACUUUACCUUGCAUUAGUGAUUGUAGAUGAGGUCUCUCUCUGUUCUUUGUGUUCUCCGGCUCAGCUUUCGAAGAUCUGAAUGGCUGUGUGAUAAAGUGAUGAGAGGCAAUAAAAAUGUAGGGCAAAAUCUCUCAGUUAGUGGAAGAAAGACACUAUGGACUGGAAUACAGCCUUUGAAACUUUCUCAUCACCUCUUUCUGGUUAUAACUUUUGCACAGAGAAGCAUACAGAGUUACAGUUUGGGGGCCUUAUCCAGAGCACUGUGUGUGCUACCAGCUGCACUGCACUUCUAUCGCUUGUUUGUUCUUUAAACCUUACCAGACCUCCCCAGAAAUUCUCUUGCAGACACGGAGUCAUAGGCCCCAAAGUAAAACUGUAUGUCUGGGCUUCUGUGAGGCUGUCAAAGAACUAUCCUGUAAAUCCAGAUCGAGUCACACCUGGAUAACCAACCCGUGGUGUGGAACAGAUCCCUGCUGGGUUGCAGUUUGCAGCUGUAGGGAAGUAUUGACACUCACUCAGCUUAAAGGCCGAGUAUAAAUUAAAUCAAAACAAAAAUCCCAGCAGCUCUGGGAGGAAGACACGUCUUUUAGAUUCCAUUUGCUCAUCUCUAAAAGUGAGUUUUCCUCUCAGAUGACCCAGUGGAAAUUUCUCCUGCAGGUGCUGUUUAGCUCUCCAUGUUAAAGCACGCUUAAUUCCUUGUUAACCUGAAGGAGGCUGCAACAAAUGCUACUGCUGGUGUGCCGAGCAGCUUCUCUCUCAUGGGCACUGUAAGCUGGCAGGGCUGCACCUGUCUGACACCAAACUUGUACGUGGUUAGAGAUCAGCUUUCUAAGACCCCGGAGAGCUCUCCUUUCUGCUUUUGCUGGCUUCCCCCAUAUCUACGUGCUGCGUGAGACUGCUGUGAGCUUUUAUGCAGGCAGCAUGUUUACAGCAGCACUGGACGUGAAGUGCAAAAUGCUCUUUGAAGUCUCCUUAAAAUCUCUCCCCUGUCAGUUCCCAAACUUAAUAGUGAUGGAGUUUGGGAAAGGUGUACGAACUGCUAUCUAGUGUGUAUGUGCAAGAGAGAAAGUGCAUGUGUAGUUAUAAAACACUCUUCAGAAUCUGAUCUCCAGUCUGUUAACAUGCUGAACGUGCCUUUUUUACAGCGGUGAUUUAUAGUCCAGCACAACUAUGCAGAAUCGCUUCAUUAUAUUUGAAUAAUGAAAAGAGUGCCAUCAAAAUGGCAUGUCUCCAGGGAUCUCUCUGAGGCAACACUUCAAACAAAUGACUUUUUAGAUAAAUUUAUUAUGAAGUGUGAUGAAAGCCAUUUUUCUUAGCAGUCACAUCUUGUGGAAUCAAUGACUUUUGUUGUGCUGUAGUUUUUUUAAUCUCUUACAUAAGUAAAGACCAAGUCCGUAUAAAUGAUGGUUGAUGCUCUGCUAUCACCAUGGAAAGGGAAUGUGAUGUUUUAGUGUUUUAAUUCUGGUCUGUUAUGACUCUAACUAUUUGUGGACUGAACUUACAGCGUAGUCUUGGAAUUACUUGGAAAUAUAUUAGUUGCUCUAAAAAUUGUUUUUACGGGCAGCUAUGGGUGUUCAUUCAGAUUUGUUAAGUUAAAAUGUGCUUUUAUAAAAUUAGAACAUUUGCCUAAGACCUUUUCUGUCUUAGGAGCACCAGCUUUCCUGGUGGCAGUCUGUUCAAUUUUGCUAAGAGGAGUUGGCCAAACCACUCAGAAGUCACCCACCUGGGGACUUCCAUAGUGUUAUAAAAACAUUUCUAUUGCUUUGGCACGUGAGCAUCCUUGAAUCUCUCAUUCAAAAUGUAACGUUUGAUUAUUAACAAGACAGACUUUCUUCUAAAAUCUGUACUGACUUUUUGUAAUCAAAGACACUGUGAAAACACAAAUUUUGUCAUCAGACAACGAUAUUUUGAAUUAAGAUAUGCUAUGCUGUUUCUUCUGGAGCUUCCUUGAAGUUGAGCCUGAUGAAGUUCAACAAGAACAAGUGUAGAAUCCUGCACCUGGGGAGAAAUAACUGCAUGCAUCAGUACAGUCAGAGGCUGAGCUGCUGGAGAGGAGCUGUGCAGAGAAGGAC